rnacentral:misc_RNA from 1 species
GAUGAAGAACGUAGCGAAACGCGAUAAGUAAUGUGAAUUGCAGAGUCCAGUGAAUCAUCGAAUCUUUGAACGCACAUUGCGCCCGCCAGCAUUCUGGCGGGCAUGCCUGUUCGAGCGUCAUUUCAACCCUCGACCUCCCCUUGGGGAGGUCGGCGUUGGGGACCGGCAGCACACCGCCGGCCCUGAAAUGGAGUGGCGGCCCGUCCGCGGCGACCUCUGCGCAGUAAUACAGCUCGCACCGGGACCCCGACGCGGCCACGCCGUAAAACACCCAACUUCUGAACGUUGACCUCGAAUCAGGUAGGACUACCCGCUGAACUUAAGCAUAUCAAUAAGCGGAGGA